AUGGGUAUGGUAUCAUCUCCCUUCAAACUUAGUGAUCUUGGAGGAAGAUGGAAUUGAAAGGAUGAUACUACCAUAACGUCCAGCCUCGAUUGACCAACUUAUCAUUUUACUGAGAUAUGUGCUGAGUUUCAUCCCAUAACUAAUCAGAACCUGCAGCGAUCGUUCUUUGCUGCACUAGACCAUCACACUGAACGCUUGCUGGCUUUAUCCCGGGAGGUGCAGGGACAGAUGGGGAGCUUUGGUUUUCGGCUCUCUGCCAUUCUGAAGACGUAUGAUGAAAUGCAAUCAAGGGAUGUGAAUUUCAGUCGAACUGCUGCCUUUCAUUGUCUCCCAGCACUACUUCGUGAAAGCGACCCUGAGGUGUUCAAAACCUGCAAGGAU